rnacentral:lncRNA from 1 species
GGCAUUUGCUUCCAAAGUUGUUUUUGAUUCUUACAGUAGAGCCUGCAAUGCAUUUGCUUCUGCUCACUGGGACUUUUGCAAAGUCCUGCAGCCUCAGAAGGCUUCCAGGAUGAACUUUCUAAAUCUGAUCAUGACAUUCCCUUGCUUAAGGUUUUUAGGGGUUCUCCACUGAGAGGAUCAAGCUCAGCAAAUCAAGCCAGACUUUUGCAGCUCAUCACUCCUGCACCAAUGGCCCCAGCUUUGCCUCUCCUUCCACCCCACCCCCCUGAGGGGGGGUACUAACACUGGCACACCUGCUGCUCCUUAAACAUGCGAUGUCCUUGUACCUCCAUUUUUUUGCCUGUACUGUGCCCUCCGCUUGAAAUGCCCCUUUCCUUCAACUGCCUAAUAAAUACCUUCAUCUGUCUAGAUCAGCAAAUCAUCUCCUUGAACCAGCUUUUCCUAAUCCUUUCCAUCUCCACACAGAACUCUCAGGCAGAAGUAUCACCUCCUUCAUGUCCCAACCGGGUCCUGGAACUCGUUCCCCAAGGAAAGAAAUCCUACUCAGAGGAAGGUGGCUGCUCAUGCAGGGGCCUCUCCAACCUUGAGGGAGGCAUCGUCUGCUCACAGCAGAGGAUGACAUGUCACUCCGCUGACCUCGGCUUCAGCCUGAAGGCUCUCUGAGGUCAGUGCUGGGUGAAAUCAGCUGGGGAGGGGUUGCUGCCUGGACAGCAGCAGGUCUCAGCUGUACUUUGGAGUCACAUGUGGAGAUUUAAAACUCACAGAUGUCUGGGUCCUGUCCCAGAGUGCUCCCUGGUCCAGGGCAGGCCUAAGCACCAGGCUUGUUUACACCCUGCAGGUGAUUUGAAUGUGCAGUGGCGUUUGCAAACCAUUGCUGUAGCUCUUCUUGCAGUCAAGCCCCAGAUCACAUCAUUUCCCAUCCCUUGCCUAGAGAUGCUAGAAACCAGGAGUCCAUUGCGUACACGAAACUUCGGUGGGCUCUGAGCCUCCUUAUGGAGGAGGAGGCCAGGUAUUCAAAUGGCAUCGACACCAAAACAGCUUGAACCUUAAAUCUUUGUGGGCAGUUUUGCUCCUGAACUAUCCACUACCCUCUUGCCUUUUCUAGCCACUGGGCAAAUUCCAUGACCAGUAGGUGGCGAUGUCUCCUAUGGCCUGCAAAACCCCAACUUCCGGUAGGAACAGCUCAACUUUUUAUAUUGCACUUUAUUGUACUUUACUUUUUAUAUUGGAGUAAGUUGAUUUACAACGUUGUGUCAGUUUCAGGUAUACAACAAAGUGAUACAGGUCUAUGGUUACACAUAUCCAUAUAGCCAUUCUUUUUCAGAUUCUUUUCCCAUAUAGGUUAUUACAGAAUAUUGAGUAGAGUUCCCUGUGCUACACAGUAAGUCCUUGCUGAUAUUUUAUAUAUGGUUGCAUGUAUAUGCUAAUCCCAAAUUCCUAAUUUAUCCCUGCAUACCACCUUUCCCCUUUGGUAACCAUAAGUUUGUUUUCGAAUUCUGUAAGUCUCUUUCUGUUUUGUGAAUAAGUUCGUUUGUACAUGUUUUUAGAUUCUACAUAUACGUGAUAUUAUGUGAUUUUUGUCUUUGACUUAUGAGGCAGCCCUUUAAAAGGGAUUGUUUGAAUUCAUUCACUUUGAAUACAACAACUUACAGCAAUUCUAAGUGAUUCCUCCUUGACUUUUUUUUGGUCCCUUCAUUCCUGCCUCUUGUGCCAGGGAAGCAUGAGUGUUAUGUUUACUCUUGUUGCAAUAUUUGCAUAAUUCAUACUGGAUCAUUAGAGAUCAUACAUUGUUUCUUUUUAGGAUUUGAAGUAAUUUUUCCUUUUGCUUUUUUUUUUAGGGCUGCCCCAUGGGAUAUGAAAGUUCCCAGGCUAGGGGUUGAAUUAGAACAGUAGCUGCCGGCUUAUGCCACAGACACAGCAAUGCUGGAUCCAAGCUGCAUCUGCAACCUACUCCACAGCUCACUGCAAUGCCGGAUCGUUAACCCACUGAGCAAGGCCAAGGAUCAAACCCACAACCUCAUGGUUACUAGUCGGAUUCGCUUCCACUGCGUCAUGAUGGGAACUCCCAGGAAUUGAAGUAAUGUUAAUGUCUUCUUAAUGGUGCAUAAAAUUUGGUAGAAGUAUUCAAAUAAUCAACAUUUUAUUUAAUAGUUUUCAAAAAUAAAAAAGAAGAUAAAUCAAACUUUUUAAAUUAA